rnacentral:rRNA from 1 species
GAUGAACGCUGGCGGCGUGCCUAAUACAUGCAAGUCGAGCGAACGGACGAGAAGCUUGCUUUUCUGAUGUUAGCGGCGGACGGGUGAGUAACACGUGGAUAACCUACCUAUAAGACUGGGAUAACUUCGGGAAACCGGAGCUAAUACCGGAUAAUAUUUUGAACCGCAUGGUUCAAAAGUGAAAGACGGUCUUGCUGUCACUUAUAGAUGGAUCCGCGCUGCAUUAGCUAGUUGGUAAGGUAACGGCUUACCAAGGCAACGAUGCAUAGCCGACCUGAGAGGGUGAUCGGCCACACUGGAACUGAGACACGGUCCAGACUCCUACGGGAGGCAGCAGUAGGGAAUCUUCCGCAAUGGGCGAAAGCCUGACGGAGCAACGCCGCGUGAGUGAUGAAGGUCUUCGGAUCGUAAAACUCUGUUAUUAGGGAAGAACAUAUGUGUAAGUAACUGUGCACAUUUUGUCGGUACCUAAUCAGAAAGCCACGGCUAACUACGUG